rnacentral:rRNA from 1 species
UACGGAGGGUGCAAGCAUUGAUCGGAAUUACUGGGCGUAAAGGGCGCGUAGGCGGUUUUAUAAGUCGGAUGUGAAAUUCCGGGGCUCAACCCCGGAGCUGCAUUUGAAACUGUAGGACUAGAGUAUAGUUAAGGUAAACGGAAUUCCACGUGUAGCGGUGAAAUGCGUAGAUAUGUGGAAGAACACCAGUGGUGAAGACGGUUUACUGGGCUAUAACUGACGCUGAGGCGUGAAAGCGUGGGGAGCAAACAGG